rnacentral:lncRNA from 1 species
CUCUUUGUGCGGUAAACUCGUGGCUGGUGAGGAUGGCUGUCGCGGAGUUCGCCUGGCUUUUGCUGCGAAACCGUCCCCAAAGGCGGGGGAGGGUGCCGCCCGGCACAUUUGCUUAGCUGCGCACAUGCAGGUACCUCGGGGCCCUGUUCGGUGAAGGGAUCACAGUCUAGGGCUGAGCAGGAUGAACUCCCAUUACAGACUAGAGUUUCUGAUGUCGCUCUGACGCUACUGCUCGGAACUGACCCAGCCCGGGUCAGGGGGGGCUCGUCUAAAGUCGCCGAGUCUUUGCUGACUCACUUGUUUCUUCCCAGGCCCCUGGUGCUCGAAGGAAGAUCCGCAGCGCGACGAGGGAGUGUAAGAUGUCCACAUCUUAAAUGGCCGCACUCGCCGCGUAAGUCCAGGGCCAAGGAUCGAAGCCCAGCCGCAGAAGCACGGAAUCCUUUAACCUGCAUCAGGCUGGGGAUGGAACCCGCACCUCCGCAGCGACCCCAGCAGCUGCAGUCGUAUUUUUAACACAGUGCGCAAGAGCGGGAACUCCUUAUUUUUGAAUAAGGCCCGAGAGCUCCUUAUCUUUGAAGCCCAGCCAGGGGCUGUCCCUUUCAGAGAUCUGGGCUAGACUGGAAAGAUUCUGGAAGGCCUAAGGUUUGGAAUUCUCUUGAAGAGCUGACAGGAUGGCUGUGGUGCCCAUAUAGUGGUUCCUGCCACUUGAACAGGCUGUGAGAAGUGGAGAAGAUGCCUUCAGCUUGGGUUCUGUGAACUUUGCAGACACAAAAGGAUGUCCUCUCUGGUGUUGGACAGAUCUUGGGAGCUUCACAUCUUUCCUGCAUUAACACAUGGGAGCAGCUAUCAACUCUUCCGAGCCAGGCGAACUGCCUAGAAAUUUGGGGACCCUUAAAUAUCAAUUAGGUGGUCUUCACUUCUUUACUUGGUUUUAGCAAAAGGAUUCCAAUAAAAUAUUUAAAAGUAAAUGAAAAAUAGAUUGGUCUUAGGCCAUAGCAACCACCAGAGCCACUGCAGUGACAACACCAGAUCCUUGACCUGCUGCGCCUCAAGGGAAAUCCUGAUAGUUGAGGUUUUUAUGAGACUGUUACAACAGUUAUCCAUUUGGCUUUUGAUGAGUUUGGUGAAAACAUAGAUUGUUCAGAUAUAUUUUGAAAGAAUUCUAUUCCUGGUGGUUGCCAGGGGCUGAGGAGGAGAAAAUGAGCAGUUAUUAAUGGGUUUAGAGUUUCAGUUGCCCAGCAUGAAAAGAAUGCAUGGGGGUGAAAGGUGGUAGUUCCACAAUGUUAUGAAUGUAUCAUCAGUGAAUUGUUUGCUUAAAGUGGUAAAAAUGGUAAGUUUUAUGUUUAUUUCACCCCAAUAAAAAAAUGGGGAAAAUCUCUGUGUUCCUUUUUGUCACUAUCACAAAGGGGGUUCUAAAAUUGGAAUUUCACAGUUCAAGGAAUUGGACAUUGAAGGUGACUUGUGUCAUUUGCUCUAUAAAUUGGUCCCAGC